CUAAUCGCUACACUAUAUAAUAGUACCUAAUCCCUAAAUACACUUAUACUUUGGAAGACCUAGAAAAUAUCCGGAGAUCCCCUUCUCUGAAAAAUUGAGCAGCGGCGCACCGCACCUGAUCUUUUUCUUCUUGCUUCAUCUAUUUCUCCAAAUCUCAGGCCAAAAAAUAAAACCUUCUCCUUCCUUCAUAGCUGUUUCCCCAGCUCUGUAAUCACCCACACGCCUAAAUGGCUUAAAAAGUGGAAAAGAAAAAUCCUCAGCAAUAUAAAAAGAAGGGAAGAAAACUGAAAUAGCAAAGACUUGGAAAAAUUCUCAUUGAAGAAAGGAAAACAAACCGUGUUUGAAUGUUGAUUGGAAGUGAAGUGUUUAAUCUCAAAUUUCUGGCCGUUUUAGAGCUUAUGGUUUUCUAUUAAUUUGUGGGUUAAUCUCUGGGCUACCGAGAGGGAUUGAGCUCUUAAAUUACUGCCAAGCGCUGCCGAUUCACUUCUUUGCUGGGCUCUAGAUUUAUUUCCGACCACCACUUUUCUUUAUUCUAUUGCAGCAAGAUUCAGGUGCCAAGACUGAGUGAGAGCAGAUUUGUUCACUUUGGAUCCUUUCGGAGAUUGCCAGAUUAUGAGCAAUUGGAGGUAGAGUCAAGAGGCAAGGGCAUCACGGAUAAGGAUUUUGGCCGGUUUGAGGU